UACGUAGGGCGCAAGCGUUGUCCGGAAUUAUUGGGCGUAAAGAGCUCGUAGGCGGUCUGCUACGUCCGCUGUGAAAACCCAGGGCUUAACCCUGGGCUGGCAGUGGAUACGGGCAGACUAGAGGUAGGUAGGGGAGAAUGGAAUUCCCGGUGUAGCGGUGAAAUGCGCAGAUAUCGGGAGGAACACCGGUGGCGAAGGCGGUUCUCUGGGCCUUACCUGACGCUGAGGAGCGAAAGCGUGGGGAGCGAACAGG
rnacentral:rRNA from 1 species